rnacentral:rRNA from 1 species
UGGGAAACUGGGUCUAAUACCGGAUAUGACCUUACAUCGCAUGGUGUUUGGUGGAAAGCUUUUGCGGUUCAGGAUGGGCCCGCGGCCUAUCAGCUUGUUGGUGGGGUAAUGGCCUACCAAGGCGACGACGGGUAGCCGACCUGAGAGGGUGAUCGGCCACACUGGGACUGAGACACGGCCCAGACUCCUACGGGAGGCAGCAGUGGGGAAUAUUGCACAAUGGGCGCAAGCCUGAUGCAGCGACGCCGCGUGAGGGAUGACGGCCUUCGGGUUGUAAACCUCUUUCACCAGGGACGAAGCGUGAGUGACGGUACCUGGAGAAGAAGCACCGGCCAACUACGUGCCAGCAGCCGCGGUAAUACGUAGGGUGCGAGCGUUGUCCGGAAUUACUGGGCGUAAAGAGCUCGUAGGCGGUUUGUCGCGUCGUCUGUGAAAUUCUGCAACUCAAUUGUAGGCGUGCAGGCGAUACGGGCAGACUUGAGUACUACAGGGGAGACUGGAAUUCCUGGUGUAGCGGUGAAAUGCGCAGAUAUCAGGAGGAACACCGGUGGCGAAGGCGGGUCUCUGGGUAGUAACUGACGCUGAGGAGCGAAAGCGUGGGUAGCGAACAGGAUUAGAUACCCUGGUAGUCCACGCCGUAAACGGUGGGUACUAGGUGUGGGGCUCAUUUCACGAGUUCCGUGCCGUAGCUAACGCAUUAAGUACCCCGCCUGGGGAGUACGGCCGCAAGGCUAAAACUCAAAGGAAUUGA